GGCGAGAUGGCCGGGCGGUCGAAGGAAGCUGGUUUAAGGCACCAGUCUCUUCGGAGGCGUCGGUUCGAAUCCCACUCUCGUCA
rnacentral:tRNA from 1 species